rnacentral:tRNA from 1 species
GCUCCCGUAGCUCAGUGGCUGAGCGCCCGCGUCACAUGCGGUGGACGCUGGUUCAAUUCCAGCCGGGAGUACCA